rnacentral:rRNA from 1 species
GGGAGUCAGACGGCGGGUGCUAAGGUCCGUCGUCGAGAGGGUAAGAGCCCAGAUCAACAGCUAAGGUCUCCAAAUCCAUGCUCAGUGGUUAAGGUGGUGACGUUGUAGAGACACCCAGGACGUUGGCUUAGAAGCAGCCAUCGUUUAAAGAAAGCGUAAUAGCUCACUGGUCUAAUGACGUUGCGCCGAAAAUGUAACGGGGCUAAGCAUGGUACCGAAGCUUUGAAUUCCGCGUAAGCGGUCUGGUAGGGGAGCGUUCUUCACGGGCAGAAGGUGUGUCGCAAGGCAUGCUGGACUGUGGAGAAGUGAUUAUGCUGACAUGAGUAACGAUAAAACGGGUGAAAAACCCGUUCGCCGUAAACCCAAGGUUUUCCGGGUAAAGGUAAUCUUCCCGGAGUUAGUCGGCCCCUAAGGCGAGGCUGAAAGGCGUAGCUGAUGGGAAACGUGUUAAUAUUCACGUACUUGUGUGUUCGCGCGAUGAAGGGACGCAGGAAGAUAGGCAAGCCGGGCGCUGGUUGUCCCGGUGCAAGCGUGUAGGGAUGAGGAGCUGGCAAAUCCGCUUCUCUCUAUCCUGAGACGCGAGUCCGUGCCCGCAAGGGCUGAAGUUGUCGAGUCUAUGCUGCCUAGAAAAGCUUCUAAGUAUAGGACACGCAAACCGUACCGGAAACCAACUCAGGUGGGUGGGAUGAAUAAUCCAAGGCGCUCGAGAGAACUCUGGCCAAGGAACUCGGCAAAAUAACCCCGUACCUUCGGAAGAAGGGGUGCUUUUUAGGGUGAAACGAUUCACUCUGUCGAGCCCUGAAAAGCCGCAGAGAAAUGGUGGUGGCGACUGUUUACUAAAAACAUAGGUCUGUGCCAAGUCGUAUAGACGACGUAUACGGACUGACGCCUGCCCGGUGCUGGAAGGUUAAAAGGAGGAGUCAGCGCAAGCGAAGCUCCGAAUUGAAGCCCCAGUAAACGGCGGCCGUAACUAUAACGGUCCUAAGGUAGCGAAAUUCCUUGUCGGGUAAGUUCCGACCUGCACGAAUGGCGUAACGAUCUCCACACUGUCUCGGCCAGAGACUCGGUGAAAUUGAAGUCGCGGUGAAAAUGCCGUGUACCCGCAGAAAGACGGAAAGACCCUGUGCACCUUUACUAUAGCUUGACAUUGGGAUUUGAGCCUGCAUGUGUAGCAUAGGUGGGAGCCUGAGAACCCUGUACGCCAGUAUGGGGGGAGGCAACGUUGAAAUACCACCCUUGUUUGUUCAGGUCCCUAACUCUUCGCCGUUACCCGGUAAGAGGACAGUGUCUGGUGGGUAGUUUGACUGGGGCGGUCGCCUCCCAAAAUGUAACGGAGGCAUGCAAAGGUUCCCUCAGGCUGAUUGGAAACCAGCCGUCGAGUGCAAACGCAGAAGGGAGCUUGACUGCAAGAGAGACAUCUCGAGCAGGUACGAAAGUAGGUGUUAGUGAUCCGGUGAUCCCGAAUGGAAGGGUCAUCGCUCAUUGGAUAAAAGGUACGCCGGGG